GAUUCGUCGAUGCAGCACGCCGCGUGGAGGAAGAAGCAUUUAGGUGUGUAAACUCCUUUUAUCAAGGAAGAAGAUGACGGUACUUGAUGAAUAAGCACCGGCUAACUCCGUGCCAGCAGCCGCGGUAAUACGGAGGGUGCAAGCGUUACUCGGAAUCACUGGGCGUAAAGCGCAUGUAGGCGGUUGUUUAAGUUAGAAGUGAAAGCCUACGGCUCAACCGUGGAACAGCUUCUAAAACUGAAUAACUAGAGUCUGGGAGAGGAAGAUGGAAUUAGUAGUGUAGGGGUAAAAUCCGUAGAGAUUACUAGGAAUACCGAAAGCGAAGGCGAUCUUCUGGAACAGGACUGACGCUGAGAUGCGAAAGCGUGGGGAGCAAACAGGAUUAGAUACCCUGGUAGUCCACGCCCUAAACGAUGAAUGUUAGUCGUUGGAGUGCUAGCCACUUCAGUGAUGCAGCUAACGCAUUAAACAUUCCGCCUGGGGAGUACGGCCGCAAGGUUAAAACUCAAAGGAAUAGACGGGGACCCGCACAAGUGGUGGAGCAUGUGGUUUAAUUCGAAGAUACGCGAAGAACCUUACCUGGCCUUGACAUAUACCAGAAUCUACCAGAGAUGGUGGAGUGCUUCGGGAGCUGGUAUACAGGUGCUGCACGGCUUGUCGUCAGCUCGUGUCGUGAGAUGUUGGGUUAAGUUCCCCGCAACGAGCGCAACCCUCGUGACUAGGUUACUAACAGGCAUUAAGCUGAGGACUCUUAGUCAGACUGCUUUCCGUAAAGAGGAGGAAGGGGAGGCCAACUCAAUCUUCCUUGGGCCUUAAGGGCCGGGGGAACCCGUGGUCCCACGGGGGGGGGCCGAAG
rnacentral:rRNA from 1 species